rnacentral:rRNA from 1 species
UGAACGCUGGCGGCGUGCCUAAUACAUGCACGUCGAGCGAACAGACGAGGAGCUUGCUCCUCUGACGUUAGCGGCGGACGGGUGAGUAACACGUGGAUAACCUACCUAUAAGACUGGGAUAACUUCGGGAAACCGGAGCUAAUACCGGAUAAUAUAUUGAACCGCAUGGUUCAAUAGUGAAAGACGGUUUUGCUGUCACUUAUAGAUGGAUCCGCGCCGCAUUAGCUAGUUGGUAAGGUAACGGCUUACCAAGGCAACGAUGCGUAGCCGACCUGAGAGGGUGAUCGGCCACACUGGAACUGAGACACGGUCCAGACUCCUACGGGAGGCAGCAGUAGGGAAUCUUCCGCAAUGGGCGAAAGCCUGACGGAGCAACACCGCGUGAGUGAUGAAGGUCUUCGGAUCGUAAAACUCUGUUAUUAGGGAAGAACAAAUGUGUAAGUAACUAUGCACGUCUUGACGGUACCUAAUCAGAAAGCCACGGCUAACUACGUG